CUCAUACCAAACAUCCCUUUAAUUUAGUAAUAAUAACAAAGUCAAAGUUUUCAUGCAAGAAACAAAUGCAUGCAUCCAAAAGAUACAAGAAUUACAUGCACCAGUGAAAUCUUAGAAGGAAUUUUUCAAAGGCUCAAGUAAGCGACAUAUCCAAGAAGGGGAUGCAGGGGCAGGAAGUUCCCUUCCUUCGAUGGUUCCGAAGACACUCAAGGGUGGCUCAAUCGAUGCAAGCAAUUUUUCUAUAACCAACAAACCAUGGAGGUAGAUAAUGUGGGACUAGCAACAUUCCACACGUUGGGAGAAGCCUAAUUGUGGUUCUAUAAGCUGGUGCAAGAGUAUCCUUGGUUAACAUGGGAUACCUUUAAGAAUUAUUGCAAUUUGUGCUUCGAACCACCUCACACAGCAACCCGUUGGGAGAACUAGUGAAUCUAAAACAAAUAAGCACAGGGGAGGAAUACCAAUGCCAAUUUUAGUCAUUAUUAACAAGGGCAACUACUAUUUAUCCUGACCUACAAUUGGAUCUAUUUACAGUUGGGUUACUCGAUACUAUUCACAUAGAUGUAGAAUUACAAACCCUCCCAAUUUAGCUAUGGUAAUGAUUUUAGUACGAGCUUAUGAGAAACAACGACAGCUGAAGCGAACAGGGACUGCUAACUGGGGGACUAUUGUGACUACCAACCAAAAACCCGCAUCUUCACUAGCAUCUGGCCGCAAUCCCAAAAACAUAGGCGAAGCAUCAGUUACAGGAUCUAGCAAUAUCAGUAGUGUCUACACACCUUUUGUAAAAAACCUUAGUUGAGUAGAAAUGGCAGAACGGCAAGCAGAAGUAUAACACCCUACUACAACUAACCAAAAUAACUUUUAGACCCUAAAUCACCUGAUCCAAAAUGGUUAACCCAAGUUACAAUGGUAGUUGGGGUAAGGGUUAUAUAAAUCCUUAAUCUUUUCUAUUCUCACACACGAUGUGGGACUGCUUGGGUUGUUACACUAGGAGUUGUAUUAUAAUUGUGAUAAGCCAUACUCCUUUGAGCACCAGUGCAAAAAAAUAUUUUGGUUUAAGAUAUUAGAUCAAGAAGAAAUCUCAAAUGACACGGAACAUUAGGAGCCACAUGAACCCAAAAUAUCAUUGCAUGCAAUCACUGGCAAGCAACAAGUGAGAACUAUGGGCUAUGAUUGAGAAUCAUCCUUUACUAGGCUUAGUAGAUUUAGGGAGAAUGCUUGGGACUGACAGUGCAACCUCAAACUAGAAUAUGUGUUUCAGUUGCUAACGAGGAAAAAAUCUUCAAUGAAAGGAUUUGCAAGGUGGUAACUUCUAUUGUAACUUACGAUUGCUUUAUUGUUGACUUCUUUAUUAUUCUUAUUAGAAGUGAGCACUUUUCGAUUUAAACCGAAUCAAACUGAAUCAGUCUAAUCGGUUCUUUUUUUAUCCGAUCAGUUUGGUUCCAUUAGUCAUUUUCAGGAUUCUCGGUUUUUAGUUCGGUUCAAUUAAUUAACAAAAAUUGAUGAGAAAAACCAAAUCAACUAUAUACAUAAAUAGCCAAAUCAGACCCAUCCCAUCCCACUCGUUUAGUCCCAUCCCAUGCCCUCUAGUCCCAUCCCUAGAUAAAUCGAACAAAAGCCUCCUCCUCCUUCUUCUCGUCUCGUCCAAUUCUUCUUUGUCUUCUUUUUUUCUUCUAUCACUUCUUCACUUCUUCAUGAUUCAAACCUCUCAACAUCAACACCUCCCCUCUUAACCCACAGACACAGC
rnacentral:misc_RNA from 1 species